rnacentral:tRNA from 1 species
GCUGUAGCUCAGUGGCAGAGCACUUGCCUCGCAUGUGUUCUAUCCUUAGCACCACGUAAAAAUAAACAAAUAAAAUAAAGGCAUUCUGUCCAUGUACAACUACAAAAAAAAAUAAUUUUAAUAUAAAAGGGGCUGGAAAUGUGGCUCCGUGGUUAAGUGCUCCUGGGUUCAAUCCCCAGUAACA